AUUGAACGCUGGCGGCAGGCCUAACACAUGCAAGUCGAACGAGUGGCGGACGGGUGAGUAAUGUCUGGGAAACUGCCUGAUGGAGGGGGAUAACUACUGGAAACGGUAGCUAAUACCGCAUACCCUCAGAUGUGCCCAGAUGGGAUUAGCUAGUGGGUGGGGUAACGGCGAACCAAGGCGACGCUCCCUAGCUGGUCUGAGAGGAUGACCAGCCACGCGGGAACUGAGACACGGUCCAGACUCCUACGGUAGGCAGCAGUGGGGAAUAUUGCACAAGGGGCGCAAGCCUGAUGCAGCCAUGCCGGGUGUGUGAAGAGGGCCUUCGGGUUGUAAAGUACUUUCAGCGGGGAGGCGUUACCCUCAGAAGAAGCACCGGCUAACUCCGUGCCAGCAGCCGCGGUAAUAC
rnacentral:rRNA from 1 species